CCUGGGGCUUGCGCCCCAGGCUGGGAUAUGCCGCCCCUUUGGGGCU
rfam:Granulicella mallensis MP5ACTX8, complete genome.